AUAGAAUUAUUGCUGCGGUUAAAAAGCUCGUAGUUGGAUCUGUGCCAUAGGACGUGGUCCACCUUCGGGUGCGUACUACGCUCCUAGGCUUUUUGCUGGUUUUCCCGUCGUAGCCUUCACUGGUUGCGGCGGGUGGCUGGCGAGUUUACUUUGAGAAAAUCAGAGUGCUCAAUACAGGCGUAUCGCUUGAAUGAUUGUGCAUGGAAUAAUAGAAAAGGAUUUCGGUCCUCUUUUAUUGGUUUUGUGGACUGAGAUAAUGGUUAACAGGGACAAACGGGGGCAUUCGUAUUACGGUGUUAGAGGUGAAAUUCUUGGAUCGCCGUAAGACGAACUACUG
rnacentral:rRNA from 1 species